GACGAACGCUGGCGGCGUGCUUAACACAUGCAAGUCGAACGGAAAGACCCUGCUUUUGUGGGGUGCUCGAGUGGCGAACGGGUGAGUAACACGUGAGUAACCUGCCCUUGACUUUGGGAUAACUUCAGGAAACUGGGGCUACUACCGGAUAGGAGCUCCUGCUGCAUGGUGGGGGUUGGAAAGUUUCGGCGGUUGGGGAUGGACUCGCGGCUUAUCAGCUUGUUGGUGGGGUAGUGGCUUACCAAGGCUUUGACGGGUAGCCGGCCUGAGAGGGUGACCGGCCACAUUGGGACUGAGAUACGGCCCAGACUCCUACGGGAGGCAGCAGUGGGGAAUAUUGCACAAUGGGCGGAAGCCUGAUGCAGCAACGCCGCGUGCGGGAUGACGGCCUUCGGGGUGUAAACCGCUUUCGCCUGUGACGAAGCGUGAGUGACGGUAAUGGGUAAAGAAGCACCGGCUAACUACGUG
rnacentral:rRNA from 1 species